AAAUUGAAGAGUUUGAUCAUGGCUCAGAUUGAACGCUGGCGGCAGGCCUAACACAUGCAAGUCGAACGGUAACAGGAAACAGCUUGCUGUUUCGCUGACGAGUGGCGGACGGGUGAGUAAUGUCUGGGAAACUGCCUGAUGGAGGGGGAUAACUACUGGAAACGGUAGCUAAUACCGCAUAACGUCGCAAGACCAAAGAGGGGGACCUUCGGGCCUCUUGCCAUCGGAUGUGCCCAGAUGGGAUUAGCUAGUAGGUGGGGUAACGGCUCACCUAGGCGACGAUCCCUAGCUGGUCUGAGAGGAUGACCAGCCACACUGGAACUGAGACACGGUCCAGACUCCUACGGGAGGCAGCAGUGGGGAAUAUUGCACAAUGGGCGCAAGCCUGAUGCAGCCAUGCCGCGUGUAUGAAGAAGGCCUUAGGGUUGUAAAGUACUUUCAGCGGGGAGGAAGGGAGUAAAGUUAAUACCUUUGCUCAUUGACGUUACCCGCAGAAGAAGCACCGGCUAACUCCGUGCCAGCAGCCGCGGUAAUACGGAGGGUGCAAGC
rnacentral:rRNA from 1 species